UAAUUGUUCGGGCUCUGAAUUAUUUUAUUGAGCCAAUAAAUUUAUUAGAUUUCACACUUUAUAAUUAGUUUAAUUAAUUUAUUUCAAAGACUAGUUUUCAUAAUAAUAUUAAAUUAUUAUUAUUAUGUGCAUAUUUUAAGUAAUUUCUUAUUAUAUGCCAAGCAUGACAUGAAUUUGCAUUAUAUUUUUGCAAUAAGAGUAUUUAAGAUUUAAUUGGUUUUAUUUAUAAUUCCAAUUAUUAAUGAAAGAUGAGUAAGAAUAUUGUUGGUGUUCUUAACUCAAGAGAAAUGUUUUCAAUUAUUUAUUCAUUAAAUUUUGAAAACCGACUAAGUGAAUCAUAGAAUGUUAAGCACUACACCAUGACUUAAGAUUAGAUUCAAGGAGACCUAUUAAGAAUAGAAUUUCUUGUAGGCUUUGUGACCAGGGGGACUAGCGCUGCUUUCCCAAGACAGGUUUUUAUGUGUAUGAUCUUCAGGCUUUGCCUAUCCAGGUUGAGCAGCUGAUGGAAUGGAAUGAUGUUGAGCGGGUGUUCUUUUGACAUUUCAAGAAAUGUAACCUUGAGUAUACAUCUUCAUAUGUAUAUCUCACACGUUUUUCCGCUGCAAACCACUUUGAUUAGAAUAACUCUAUGUUAUGAAGUUGUGACACGUGUUAUUGGGUAACCCACCUUAAUCAGUUCUCCUUUAUGUGUA